ACGAACGCUGGCGGCGUGCCUAAUCCAUGCCAGUAGAACGCACAGUUUAUACCGUAGCUUGCUACACCAUAAACUGUGAGUUGCGAACGGGUGAGUAACGCGUAGGUAACCUGCCUGGUAGCGGGGGAUAACUAUUGGAAACGAUAGCUAAUACCGCAUAAUAUUGAUUAUUGCAUGAUAAUUGAUUGAAAGAUGCUAUUGCAUCACUACCAGAUGGACCUGCGUUGUAUUAGCUAGUAGGUGAGGUAACGGCUCACCUAGGCGACGAUACAUAGCCGACCUGAGAGGGUGAUCGGCCACACUGGGACUGAGACACGGCCCAGACUCCUACGGGAGGCAGCAGUAGGGAAUCUUCGGCAAUGGACGAAAGUCUGACCGAGCAACGCCGCGUGAGUGAAGAAGGUUUUCGGAUCGUAAAGCUCUGUUGUAAGAGAAGAACGGGUGUGAGAGUGGAAAGUUCACACUGUGACGGUAGCUUACCAGAAAGGGACGGCUAACUACGUG
rnacentral:rRNA from 1 species